ensembl:lncRNA SNHG5 small nucleolar RNA host gene 5
GCUGCGCACUUCGGUCUUUUACGUCGGCCUUCGCGAGCGUCUGGGCGGGUGGUAGGUGAGUGGGUAUUGCGGGCUAGUAUCCGAGCAAAAGAUGGUGGCGCAGGCCGAGUUAAGAGCUUUAAUCCUGUGAAGACAUCUUAGUGAAGAGUUUAGAGUGCUGAGAGUUGAAAGCUUGCACGUGGGAAACGUGCGGCCGGACUGCCACAUGUACUGAGGUUGAGUCGUGACGGCCACAGGCUCCGAGUUUUGGCGUGAGGAACCGCUGAUCGGCCACGGGCGCCGAACUUGCUGGCCUCCGGCAUGUGCCUGAGCGGCGGCGGAAAAACCACCUUAAUUGGGGCGGAGGGUUAGUUUUAACAGCAAAGGGCCUUUACUAAAAUGGCGAAGGCCUUCCGUCGGCGUUGUUUUAAAAUGGGAAGCCUCGACCCUGUAUUGAAACUGAGCUGUUCGAAGGCGGCGUUGUGUGCAAUUCGGAUUAAUGAAGGGGAAGGGUUUUGUGUGGAAAAACGCCUUGGAGUGUGACAUUUCUGCGAGAAUGCUUAAAUACCGAUUUCCCGCAGGAACAAUGGCGCUGUCUUCAGUGGCACAGUGGAGCAGCUCUGAAGAUGCAAAGGUAAGAGCUUAGUUAAGCUUAGUUUCCAAACUAAAGGAGUAAACCUGUUGAUUUACAGGAAUAGGAACUGUUGCAUCGUUUGAAAUUUACUUUUUUUUGUUAGAUACACGAAAAAACUUCCAGAACAUCUGGGAGAAUAUUUAAUGGAAAAUCGCUUGGUUAAAACCUGACACUUUUAACAGGUAUGUGUUGUUUUAGUACUUUAUGAUUGAGCAUAGCAUUUAAUCCACACCUAGACUAAAUCAAAUUUUUUUUGUCAGUGAACAGCGUUCUGAGUGUGGACGAGUAGCCAGUGAAGAUAAUGAAUGUCGAAUGUGACUGACUAGCAGCUUCAUUUUGAAGUAGGUUGUAUGGCUUAAAAGUUCUGUAGUAUUUGUACUAUAAUACUUGCCUUUUAGCAUUACCUUGGUUUGUAGUCAGUGUCACAGAAGUGCAGUUUAAUGUAUUAUGUGUACAUAUACAAGGUCUGAUUGGUCUAAUCAAUGAUGAAACCUAUCCCGAAGCUGAUAACCUGAAGAAAAAUAAGUACGGAUUCGGCUUCUGAGAUUAAGACCAGUAAUUCAGAGGUGGAGUAAAUUUUGUUGCCGUGAUUUUAUAACAGUUGUGUUAUAAAAUCCUGGGUUUUUUUUUUUUCUGCCAACAGUGAGGGUCGCUGUCUGCCCAUUGAUAGAGGCCAGAUUGUCUUGGAAGUUCCAAAGUUGCAACGAUUUCUGGCUAGUGCCACGAGGUUUACUUGACUGUUGUGUGAAAAGCUGAUAAGAAAACCAUCCAGAAAAAAGCUCUUCGUUUUACAAACAUGAAAAUAAAACAUGUAAUUUUGGAUUAUGUUCCUUUUUGUUAUUACUUUUAAAUAGGUCCUGAAAUAACAUGGGGAGCAUUAAAUGGAAAAUCCACUAACCAGCCUUGUAAUCAAAUUACUGUGAGUGAAUGUUUCGGGUUUGUGCAGGGUACAAUGUAAGGGUUUUUGGAUCAGUGUAAGAGUGGAGAGACAGGAAUUAGAAGUAAUUGUUACUAAGCAAAUCAUGGAAUAUUUAGUUUUGAUGUAACUAUAAUUUUGAAAGCCUGGAUGCUUAAGUUGAGAAAUGGGGGAAUGAGAUACAGAAAAUAAGGAGCACAAUAGAAUAAUAA